GACGAACGCUGGCGGCGUGCUUAACACAUGCAAGUCGAACGGAUGGGUGUAGCAAUACAUUUCAUCAGUGGCAGACGGGUGAGUAACACGUGGGAACCUUCCUCGUUGUACGGGACAACUCAGGGAAACUUGAGCUAAUACCGUAUAAGUCCGAGAGGAGAAAGAUUUAUCGCAAUGAGACGGGCCCGCGUCGGAUUAGCUAGUUGGUGGGUACGGCCGUACCAAGGCGACGAUCCGAGCUGAUCUGAGAGGAUGAUCAGCCACACUGGGACGUGAGACACGGCCCACGACUCCUACGGGAGGGCAGCAGUGGGGAAGUCUUGGACAAUGGGCGGCAAGACCUGAUCCAGCCAUGCCGCGUGGAGUGAAGAAGGCCUUAGGGUUGUAAAGCUCUUUGCCAGGGACGAUAUGACGUACCUGGAGAAUAAGCCCCGGCAAACUUCGUGCCAGCCGCCGCAGUAAG
rnacentral:rRNA from 1 species